UAGGGAAUCUUCGGCAAUGGACGAAAGUCUGACCGAGCAACGCCGCGUGAGUGAAGAAGGUUUUCGGAUCGUAAAACUCUGUUGUUAGAGAAGAACAAGGACGUUAGUAACUGAACGUCCCCUGACGGUAUCUAACCAGAAAGCCACGGCUAACUACGUGCCAGCAGCCGCGGUAAUACGUAGGUGGCAAGCGUUGUCCGGAUUUAUUGGGCGUAAAGCGAGCGCAGGCGGUUUCUUAAGUCUGAUGUGAAAGCCCCCGGCUCAACCGGGGAGGGUCAUUGGAAACUGGGAGUCUUGAGUGCAGAGGAGGAGAGUAGAAUUCCAUGUGUAGCGGUGAAAUGCGUAGAUAUAUGGAGGAACACCAGUGGCGAAGGCGGCUCUCUGGUCUGUAACUGACGCUGAGGCUCGAAAGCGUGGGGAGCAAACAGG
rnacentral:rRNA from 1 species